CCUUCGAUAGCUCAGUUGGUAGAGCGGUGGACUGUAGAAAAGGUUCGGAGGAGGUUCGAUGCACCACACAACAUGCAUGAACGAUCACUUUCCAAACAGUAGAGUAGUAAUCCAUAGGUCACUGGUUCAAAUCCGGUUCGAAGGA
rfam:Anopheles funestus strain FTMOZ unplaced genomic scaffold supercont1.86, whole genome shotgun sequence.